UACGGAGGGUGCAAGCGUUAUCCGGAUUCACUGGGUUUAAAGGGUGCGUAGGUGGGGCUGUAAGUCAGUGGUGAAAUCUCCAAGCUUAACUUGGAACUGCCGUUGAUACUAUAGCUCUUGAAUGUUGUGGAGGUGAAGCGGGAAUAUGUCAUGUAGCGGUGAAAUGCUUAGAUAUGACAUAGAACACCAAUUGCGAAGGCAGCUCACUAACACAAAUAUUGACACUGAGGCACGAAAAGCGU
rnacentral:rRNA from 1 species